rnacentral:lncRNA from 1 species
AAGCCUUUGGGGCUGCCAUUGGAGGGAACCCAGUUAUGAGUUAAGAGAAUGUAUGGGAACCCUACUGAUGCUUCCAGAACUGAGUCCAGAUGAGACUGAGGGUGGGGAACAGGGGGAAAAGGUCAGGCUCAGGGAAAAGGACUCGAGGUUGAGGAAGUCUAUGAUCUUACAGCUGUUUCUGGAACUCUCCCAAACCAUACUAACAGGCAGUUCAGAAAAAGGGCAAGAAGAGGACAAAUUCUAUAUACAGAACAUUAUCUGAGGGCUGAGGAUGGGGCCUGGGGAAGGGAGAGGGAAAAAACUUCCAGAGAGCCUGGGAGAGGAGGGCAACCAGCUAAUGGUAGCACCUGGAAAACUCUCUUUCUAGUCUAGAGGUUCCUGUAGGUGAUCCCUAAUCCCUGGAAGGGGGACCUGAGGAGGUGGGUAGAGGACAGUCAAGGCCUUAGCCCCAAAGCCCUCACACAAACAUGGAUGGUGGACUUGGACUUGAUGGAAGACAUGCUGGCUGGGUUACGUUCUCAGAAUACCCUCCAUUCUCCUGUCUAUAGUGGACAUUGGAAAUCUCACUCUCAGAGAGCUUUCCCUUCGGGUCUGGAGAAGGCUUUUAAACAUCCUUUAGAAGAGGGAAAAUAACCCUGAGUGGGGCAGCAAUGAUGGUGAAUUAGGAGUAAAGCUCAGAUGGAACGAGGCCUGCUCCAGAGGCACUGGGCUUGACAAGGGGACAGGACCUAAGGAUGAACUCUGGAGUGCUCUCACUUUUGCCCAAGGUCAGUCUAAUCCAGUCCCUGAUCCCCAGGAGGCCUUAUUUAGGCUGCCUUUGUUCCUGAAUAACCAGUGGGUUAUCCAAGCUAUGUACAUCCCAUGGUUCUGCUAGCGGAGAGCUGCCUUAAGAUGCAUGGGCUCUGAGGGGCAGGGCUGGCAGGCAGUUAGGUAGCUCAUUUCAACCUUAGGUUGCCCUCCAGCUUUCUAAUCCUAGAGCCCCAGUCUUCCAGUCUGGACUUUCACCAGGUGACACACGCAGCGCGUCGGCAUCAGCAGGUGUCAGCCUGAAACUGGACCUAUGCCUGAUUCAUCCAGGAAGCUGAACCCAGGCAGCAGAACAAACACCCCUAAGCAGCUCCUGCCAGGCAUGGUUCCCUCCCUCUUCCCAAAUACAAAUGGAAAACAGCGUGGGAAUCCCCUUUCGGAGGAAGCAAUGGUGCAGCUUUAAGAAAAAGGGAAGGGAG